GGGGGUGUAAAGGUUUCGACGGGGGUGUAGAGACAGGAUAAGCGAGCGGUAGUUUGCCAGUCUACCUAAAAAAGGCACGUUAAAUAUAAACGCUAAAAAGAACAAUAAUUUCGCAUUAGCUGCUUAGUUCAGCACCGCGCGCCGGUUUGGAUUUACCUGUAGGUCCAUUUUCCGGCGACGACUAUACAGGAAAACUGCGUGUGAAAGCCCGGCAGCACGUAGGAACAACGGGAUAGCUGAGGCUUGAGUCUGUCAGUGGACGUUUGCUUCGGCGAAUUUUAAAACAUUGACUGCGCUCGGAGAAAAUUCUGCGGAAAUGCUUUCGGACGUGGGUUCGAUUCCCACCAUCUCCACCA
rnacentral:sRNA from 1 species